AUUCCGUGCCCAAGAUCAUAUUAUAUCUUUCGUUUCGACGUCGUAUCUUCACUAGAAACGAAGUUAGCGUACUAUGCAUUUUAUCGAGUUAUGGAUAGCAUAUUUUGAAUUCCGGGCCCAAAA
rnacentral:lncRNA from 1 species